rnacentral:misc_RNA from 1 species
CUCACAUGUAUAUACACGGCUUGCGCAUGUGUGCGGUAUUCCCUUCCUCACGCUGCUUGCUGCUUGCGUCUGAAAUCUGGCGUCACUGAUCAGUACGCGUACUGAUCUGGCGUGAUUCCAAGUGAUUUAGAGAUUCGCAUAUUCGCACGGUCUCCGUUACACUUGACUAAUGCUAUUCGUCGUAGCCUCUAGUAGGUAGACCGGGCUGGACCGGGCGCGUUUACAUUCGGGGGAACAGGAUGCAGUAGUUACGGUACGACAAAGUAAUUCGGAUAACGUUGCACUACCGCUGCAGCCGAAGUCGUUUCACGACUUCUUUUCACGAACGCAGCAAGGUUAAACACGGUGCGCUGGGCACCACUGGACGACAGCAGAAAUUAAUUGUGAGAUGGACGGCAAGGUGGACGACGAGAACCAGCGUAGCGUCAACGACGGCGACUGGGUCUGCCCUGAUUCUCAAUGUGCCAAUAUAAACUUUGCCAGACGAAACUCCUGCAAUCGCUGUGGGAAAGAUAGAGGAGAGUGUCCAAAGAAGAAAAAAUUGGGUCAAGAAAUUGGAAAAGCAGCUGCAGAGAAAAGCAGAGGACUGUUUAGCGCGGAUGACUGGCAAUGCAGUAAGUGUGGUAAUGUAAACUGGGCUCGCCGGCAACAAUGUAAUAUGUGUAAUGCACCAAAGUUUGGUGAAAUAGAAGAACGUACGGGAUAUGGAGGUGGAUAUAACGAUCGAGGAGUUGUAGAAUAUAAAGAAAGGCGGGAGGAUGACGACGAGUACGAUGAAUUUGGGCGGCGCAAGAAAAAACGAAAACUAGAGAAAAACUCGUCUGAUGAUGAUUCAAAAGAUUCCAAAUACAGCAGUCCACCGCGUAAAUCUAGAGACAAGGAAGAAAAAGAGAAGGAAGCAGACGAAGAGCAAGAAGAAAACGAGGACGAAGAGGAAGAUGACGAGGAUGAUGGUGAUUUAUCUAAAUACGAUCUUAGCGAAUGGGAUGACUUUGCACCAGUGAAAAAAAGCACAAACGGAAGUAGUACAUCACCGGAAGCACAACGGUCAAGGUAAUUAAUAGCGAAACGGAGAUGAUCGGCGUGAUUCAGGCACAUCCAACCAAUGAAAGGCUGUACAGAAGGACAGGUGAACCGAAGACCUUGAAAGAGAACGCAACCAGCUCUCGGCAACUAAGAAGUAUACACAACGCAACAAGUUUUAGUAAUUUAGUAUGCACCUUUGGAUAUAAAGUGGCCGAUAAUACGUGACUUAUUACAAAGGGAAGUCGAUUAACAAUAUAAGCUUUACAUUUAUAAUUGAGCUCAUAGCUUCGUUGAUCCUAAGGAAGCGAAAUGUAGGUCUCCUAUUUGCGCGGGUAUAUCGUUGUUCUAACGACUUUGUAGAAUUUACGAAAAACGGCGCAAGUAGUAUGUUUCGCUAGCGAAAUACAAGAUUGAUAAUACCAACAUGAAUCUAUAGAAGAAAUUAUACACAGCUCGUUUUACAAGCUAAGUAUAUGAGAUGUAGAAAAAGAUCUUAAUUCCUAUGUAAUAGAUGGUGUCAACGCUCUGCGCAAGAAGCCCCGACGUCGCAGUGUUCUAAGAUUUCUAUUACUUUAUCACAAAACGUAAACUAUGUCGAUGUAGCCGUGUCACUGCUUCGUAUUGCUCAAGCUGCCUGAAGUAAUCUAAUUCAUUUCUUUUUUUACCCCUUGUCUCUCUUUACGUCACUCGACGGUAACAUUCGGAUAAAAUAAAUCGUGAAGUAUAUUAAAGAAUCAUUCCCCACAAGAUAUGUAUUGAUGUCGUUUCGAAGAGACGGAAAGGAAAAAAGGAUACGUUUAUUUUUCUUGGACUAUCACAGUUUCCGAGUAAAUUUCAAACAGCCUGCUCACUUCGGAAUCGUAGCGCGUUUUAAAGUUAGUCGUGUUCCGCAUUGUGAUGACGCUGGAUUUGUCAGUUUUGUAAUAAACGGAAUUGAAUUCCGACGGCCGUUCUUGUACCGCAAAACGAUUAUCGAUCAAAUAUUGUAUUGACUUCUUGUAAAUAUCUUUAUUUUUCAUUUAUAAUAAAAAUCAUUCA